rnacentral:tRNA from 1 species
AGAAAGGUAAGCUAACUAAGCUUUCAGGUUCAUACCCUGUCCAUAGGAGUAAACCCCCCUUCUUUCUA